rnacentral:rRNA from 1 species
CUAUACAUGACUCUGCGCAUAUCAAUAAGCGGAGGAAAAGAAACUAACAAGGAUUCCCCUAGUAACGGCGAGUGAAGCGGGAAGAGCUCAAAUUUGAAAUCUUAAAGGGUUUCCCUUUACGAAUUGUAGUUUAAAGAAGUGUUUUCUGUUGAGGUUUUGGUAAAAGUUCUUUGGAAUAGGACAUCAUAGAGGGUGAGAAUCCCGUAUUUGACCUUUACUUUCAACUUUGUGAUACACUUUCAAAGAGUCGGAUUGUUUGGGAAUGCAGUCCAAAAUGGGUGGUAAAUUUCAUCUAAAGCUAAAUAUUGGCGAGAGACCGAUAGCGAACAAGUACCGUGAGGGAAAGAUGAAAAGAACUUUGAAAAGAGAGUUAAACAGUACGUGAAAUUGUCAAAAGGGAAGCGUUUGACACCAGUGUUGUUUUUCUGAAAAUCAAUUAAAGAACUGUUUAUGCUAAGUUGUUUAGACUUUAUCAGCUAACUGUUUAGUUUUGAGCUUUUCUUUAAUGCACUUUUCAGUUAACAAGUCAACAUCAAUUUCUUUUGCUGUAAAAAAGCUUGAGGAAGGUGGCUUGAGAUUCGUCUUAAGUGUUUAUAGCCUCUUGCCUAUGCAGUCGGAGAGAUUGAGGUCUGCAGCGUAGAUCCUUCGGGGCUAAAUGCAUUUGUGCUAAGUUAUAGCAUUUUAUAGGACAACUUGUUGACUAUGAUUUGUCUUGUAGCUUACUCGCUUAUGUUAUUUUACCUACGCUUAGGAUGUUGAGCGCAUGUCUCUCUCU